AUGUAUGUAUGUAUGUAUGUAUGUAUGUAUGUAUGCCAUUAACUCUAACGGAAGACUAAAUAGGGACACAUGACACAAUCUUAUUCGUCUAUCCGAUAUUCAAUAAAUGGAGGGUCGGUGAUUAAGAUCAUAUGACGUGUAUGUCUGUUAGUAUAAAAGGUAUAUAUGCUCUGGUUUUUCAUACGAUUUACGAUAAUUCGGAAAUAUAUAUUUUUCAUUUUUCUCAUAUGUAUAUAUAGUUGAGUACGUAUUGAAGUUGUGGAGAUGUAACUCAUGGUCUAUUGUGUUAUUAUUUGUAGCGGAAUACGCUAAUUUGCCACUCAUUCCAUCUUAUUUCCAAAUUGACAAGCAAGGAUUUACUCAUGGAGUCAAUUUUGCUUCAAGCUUAUCUGAUUCUCUCCUUGAAACCAACCGUGGUCAUGUAAUAGACCUUAAACACAAUUGAAAUAUUUCAAGAAGGUGACAAAAUUGUUAAAGAAUAAAGUUGGAGAUAAGCAUUCCAAAAAAACUCAUCUCAAAUGCUGUUUACAUGUUUAGUACUGGAACAGUUAAUUAUGGUGAAGCUUUUCGAAGUAGUCCCGAGUUAAUUCAGUUUCCAUAUCCUAAACAACAAUUUGUAGAAAUGGUAUUAUCAAAUUUCACAUCCGUUUUUAAGGGUUUGAAGUAUCAAAGAAUGCAUGUUGUGGUACAGGACCCUUUCGAGGAAUUAACAGUUGUGGAGGAAAGAGGCAAGUUAAAGAGUACCAACUUUGCAAAAAUCCCAAAGAUUAUGUAUUCUUCUAUGCUACGGAUCGGUCACAAUCCACCUGUGCUAAACUGUUAUGGCAUGGCGAUUCGGAUGUCACUAAAACUUAUGUUCUAAAAUCUUUUUUUGAAUUUUCAGGCUAAAUCCACCAUAAAAUUGGUGUGCACUAUUAUCUUUUUUUGGAAUAAGACUAUCUCUCUAUAGCUU